rnacentral:rRNA from 1 species
CCCUUAGAUGUUCUGGGCCGCACGCGCGCUACACUGAUGCGUUCAACAAGUUUCCUUGGCCGAGAGGCCUGGGCAAUCUUCUUAAUAUGUAUCGUGAUAGGGAUAGAUUAUUGCAAUUAUUAAUCUUGAACGAGGAAUUCCUAGUAAACGCAGAUCAUCAAUCUGCAUUGAUUACGUCCCUGCCCUUUGUACACACCGCCCGUCGCACCUACCGAUUGGAUGUUCCGGUGAAGCCUCGGGAUGAGGACAGGUGCCUUUAUUGGCAUGAGUUGUUCAGAACUUGUCUAAACCUUAUCAUCUAGAGGAAGGUGAAGUCGUAACA